UACGUAGGGGGCAAGCGUUGUCCGGAUUUAUUGGGCUUAAAGAGCGUGUAGGCGGCCGUACAGGUCAGCUGUGAAAACUCGAGGCUCAACCUCGAGACGUCGGUUGAAACCGUACGGCUAGAGUCCGGAAGAGGAGAGUGGAAUUCCCGGUGUAGCGGUGAAAUGCGCAGAUAUCGGGAAGAACACCCGUGGCGAAGGCGGCUCUCUGGGACGGUACUGACGCUGAGACGCGAAAGCGUGGGGAGCGAACAGG
rnacentral:rRNA from 1 species